rnacentral:rRNA from 1 species
CGCUGGCGGCGUGCUUAACACAUGCAAGUCGAACGGGGAUAUGUUUGAUGAGAGCUUCGGCAGGAAUCGGAUAUAUUCUAGUGGCGGACGGGUGAGUAACGCGUGAGCAACCUGUCCCAGACAGGGGGAUAACACUUGGAAACAGGUGCUAAUACCGCAUAAGACCACAGGGUCACAUGGCCCAGGGGUAAAAGGUGCAAACCGGUUUGGGGUGGGCUCGCGUCCGAUUAGCCAGUUGGCGGGGUAACGGCCCACCAAAGCGACGAUCGGUAGCCGACCUGAGAGGGUGAUCGGCCACAUUGGAACUGAGAGACGGUCCAAACUCCUACGGGAGGCAGCAGUGGGGAAUAUUGGGCAAUGGGCGAAAGCCUGACCCAGCAACGCCGCGUGAGUGAAGAAGGCCUUCGGGUUGUAAAGCUCUGUUAUAGUUGACGAAGGAAGUGACGGUAGGCUAUAAGGAAGCCCCGGCUAACUACGUGCCAGCAGCCGCGGUAAUACGUAGGGGGCGAGCGUUGUCCGGAAUGACUGGGCGUAAAGGGCGUGUANGCGGCCGAUUAAGUCUGGAGUGAAAGUCCUGU